rnacentral:rRNA from 1 species
AGUGAACGCUGGCGGUAGGCCUAACACAUGCAAGUCGAACGGCAGCACAGUAAGAGCUUGCUCUUACGGGUGGCGAGUGGCGGACGGGUGAGGAAUACAUCGGAAUCUACUUUUUCGUGGGGGAUAACGUAGGGAAACUUACGCUAAUACCGCAUACGACCUACGGGUGAAAGCAGGGGAUCUUCGCACCUUGCGCGAUUGAAUGAGCCGAUGUCGGAUUAGCUAGUUGGCGGGGUAAAGGCCCACCAAGGCGACGAUCCGUAGCUGGUCUGAGAGGAUGGUCAGCCACACUGGAACUGAGACACGGUCCAGACGCCUACGGGAGGCAGCAGUGGGGAAUAUUGGACAAUGGGCGCAAGCCUGAUCCAGCCAUACCGCGUGGGUGAAGAAGGCCUUCGGGUUGUAAAGCCCUUUUGUUGGGAAAGAAAAGCAGCAGGUUAAUACCCCGCUGUUCUGACGGUACCCAAAGAAUAAGCACCGGCUAACUUCGUG